rnacentral:rRNA from 1 species
AUGAACGCUGGCGGCGUGCCUAAUACAUGCAAGUCGAGCGAACAGACGAGGAGCUUGCUCCUCUGACGUUAGCGGCGGACGGGUGAGUAACACGUGGAUAACCUACCUAUAAGACUGGGAUAACUUCGGGAAACCGGAGCUAAUACCGGAUAAUAUAUUGAACCGCAUGGUUCAAUAGUGAAAGACGGUUUUGCUGUCACUUAUAGAUGGAUCCGCGCCGCAUUAGCUAGUUGGUAAGGUAACGGCUUACCAAGGCAACGAUGCGUAGCCGACCUGAGAGGGUGAUCGGCCACACUGGAACUGAGACACGGUCCAGACUCCUACGGGAGGCAGCAGUAGGGAAUCUUCCGCAAUGGGCGAAAGCUUGACGGAGCAACGCCGCGUGAGUGAUGAAGGUCUUCGGAUCGUAAAACUCUGUUAUUAGGGAAGAACAAAUGUGUAAGUAACUAUGCACCUCUUGACGGUACCUAAUCAGAAAGCCACGGCUAACUACGUG